CACUAACACACUUUCUCAUCUUAAUUCCACAUAAAUGUUUCAUUUAUUUCUUUUCAUACAUCAUAAAGAUCAUAAUUGCUAUGGAUCCAAGUGGACCUUCGACUUAAACAACCUUCUCUUCCGCCAGGUUCCUGCUCCAAACACCGGCCACGUCCUCCAGCAGCAGCCGGCUCAGGAGGCUCCUCGGGCGGCCUCAGUCGGCUCAGCAUCCCGGCGACUCCACGGCCGGAGGCUCCACCCUGCACUACCCCGAGAAGCGCUUAGGGGGCGCCAGUGUCUAAUGCUCCAGGCAUUUUGCUGCAAAGUGACCAGUGCAGGGUGUGCCUCGCCUCUCACCCCCCUCAAAGUCGUCUGGGAUAGGCUCCAGCUUGCCCGUCACCCCGUCACCCCAGUAAGGUAUGUCUUUUACAGACAUGCUGCGAAGAAGGGACGUGUGUAAACGUGAUGGGUCCACGACCGCGUCCGUGAUGGCGUCCGUGAUGGCGUGGAGGCGUGCGCCGGUCCGAGGCAGGCGUGUUCCUCAUAAUGAAACAAGUCCACCCCUUCUCCCCACUACCCCCACCUCAGUAAUUGUUCUUGAUUCCUCCUUUGUGUUUCACGCUUGACUCGCCCCUCACGUCAGGGCGGGCGCACGAAGACGUGCGCUCGGCCCGCCGCUGACAGCCGAGCUUGGUGAUGAAGAAAUUAAGGAUGGAUUAAUCUGUCUGGAAGCGUGCUAGCAGGCCAGCGUGUUUGCCUCUGACAGCGCCGACGCCGCUUGCACGCUAAAUCCAACUGGAGGGAAGUCGUGGUUGAGAAACAGAUGCUGCCUUUCUACUUCCUGGCAGAGACGCUUCCGGAAUGUUCACUUUGGAAGGCAGCAACACUUCCUGGCGCUCAAAAGCUGACCUGACAGCCUGGAAACGAGCAGGGAAAGAAACAAAGAUGGCUGCCGGACCUACCGCAAACACUCUCCUCAGAGAUCCUCGAAAUGACAGGAGGGCUCGGCUGUUUUUGAGGACAUACUGCAAAAACGUGAGUCAAAGAUCCUUUAUUUGACAGGAGAGCUCUGCUAUUUUUGAGCACCUACUGCAAAAACACUGGUUGAAGAUCUUCAAUAUGACAGAAGUGCUCUGCUGUUUUUGAGGACCUACUGUAAAAAUGCCAGGCAAA